CAGCCGCCGCGGUAAUACGUAGGUGGCAAGCGUUGUCCGGAAUUAUAGGGCGUAAAGCGCGCGCAGGCGGAUCAGUCAGUCUGUCUUAAAAGUUCGGGGCUUAACCCCGUGAUGGGACGGAAACUGCUGAUCUAGAGUAUCGGAGAGGAAAGUGGAAUUCCUAGUGUAGCGGUGAGAUGCGUAGAUAUUAGGAAGAACACCAGUGGCGAAGGCGACUUUCUGGACGAAAACUGACGCUGAGGCGCGAAAGCCAGGGGAGCGAACGGGAUUAGAUACCCCGGUAGUCCCUGUCUCUUAUACA
rnacentral:rRNA from 1 species